rnacentral:rRNA from 1 species
ACGUAGGUGGCAAGCGUUGUCCGGAAUAACUGGGCGUAAAGAGCACGUAGACGGCUUAUUAAGCUAGAUGUGAAAGUUUGCAGCUUAACCGUAAAACUGCAUUUAAAACUGCUGGACUUGAGUCUAGGAGAGGUAAGCGGAAUUCCUAGUGUAGCGGUGAAAUGCGUAGAGAUUAGGAAGAACACCGGUGGCGAAGGCGGCUUACUGGACUAGAACUGACGUUCAGAUGCGAAAGCGAGGGGAGCAAACAG